rnacentral:rRNA from 1 species
ACGGGAGGCAGCAGUGGGGAAUAUUGGACAAUGGGGGAAACCCUGAUCCAGCGACGCCGCGUGAGUGAAGAAGUAUUUCGGUAUGUAAAGCUCUAUCAGCAAGGAAGAAAAUGACGGUACUUGACUAAGAAGCUCCGGCUAAAUACGUGCCAGCAGCCGCGGUAAUACGUAUGGAGCAAGCGUUAUCCGGAUUUACUGGGUGUAAAGGGAGCGUAGACGGCAAAGCAAGUCUGAAGUGAAAUCCCGGGGCUCAACCCCGGAACUGCUUUGGAAACUGUUUAGCUAGAGUGCGGGAGAGGUAAGCGGAAUUCCUAGUGUAGCGGUGAAAUGCGUAGAUAUUAGGAGGAACACCAGUGGCGAAGGCGGCUUACUGGACGAUCACUGACGCUGAGGCUCGAAAGCGUGGGGAGCAAACAGGAUUAGAUACCCUGGUA